rnacentral:rRNA from 1 species
AUUGAACGCUGGCGGCAUGCCUUACACAUGCAAGUCGAACGGUAACAGGUCUUCGGAUGCUGACGAGUGGCGAACGGGUGAGUAAUACAUCGGAACGUGCCUAGUAGUGGGGGAUAACUACUCGAAAGAGUGGCUAAUACCGCAUGAGAUCUACGGAUGAAAGCAGGGGAUCGCAAGACCUUGUGCUACUAGAGCGGCCGAUGGCAGAUUAGGUAGUUGGUGGGAUAAAAGCUUACCAAGCCGACGAUCUGUAGCUGGUCUGAGAGGACGAUCAGCCAGACUGGGACUGAGACACGGCCCAGACUCCUACGGGAGGCAGCAGUGGGGAAUUUUGGGCAAUGGGCGAAAGCCUGAUCCAGCAAUGCCGCGUGCAGGAUGAAGGCCUUCGGGUUGUAAACUGCUUUUGUACGGAACGAAAAGCCCUGGGUUAAUACCCUGGGGUCAUGACGGUACCGUAAGAAUAAGCACCGGCUAACUACGUGCCAGCCGCCGCCGUAA